GGGGGAGUAACUCAGUUGGUAGAGUGACGGCCUGUCGCGCCGUAAGUUCGCGGGUUCGAGUCCCGUCUCUCUCG
rnacentral:tRNA from 1 species